UGCAAGUCGAGCGGAUGAAGGGAGCUUGCUCCUGGAUUCAGCGGCGGACGGGUGAGUAAUGCUUAGGAAUCUGCCUAUUAGUGGGGGACAACAUUUCGAAAGGGAUGCUAAUACCGCAUACGCCCUACGGGGGAAAGCAGGGGAUCUUCGGACCUUGCGCUAAUAGAUGAGCCUAAGUCAGAUUAGCUAGUUGGUGGGGUAAAGGCCUACCAAGGCGACGAUCUGUAGCGGGUCUGAGAGGAUGAUCCGCCACACUGGGACUGAGACACGGCCCAGACUCCUACGGGAGGCAGCAGUGGGGAAUAUUGGACAAUGGGGGGAACCCUGAUCCAGCCAUGCCGCGUGUGUGAAGAAGGCCUUUUGGUUGUAAAGCACUUUAAGCGAGGAGGAGGCUCUUCUAGUUAAUACCUAGGAUGAGUGGACGUUACUCGCAGAAUAAGCACCGGCUAACUCUGUGCCAGCAGCCGCGGUAAUACAGAGGGUGCGAGCGUUAAUCGGAUUUACUGGGCGUAAAGCGUACGUAGGCGGCUUUUUAAGUCGGAUGUGAAAUCCCUGAGCUUAACUUAGGAAUUGCAUUCGAUACUGGGAAGCUAGAGUAUGGGAGAGGAUGGUAGAAUUCCAGGUGUAGCGGUGAAAUGCGUAGAGAUCUGGAGGAAUACCGAUGGCGAAGGCAGCCAUCUGGCCUAAUACUGACGCUGAGGUACGAAAGCAUGGGGAGCAAACAGGAUUAGAUACCCUGGUAGUCCAUGCCGUAAACGAUGUCUACUAGCCGUUGGGGCCUUUGAGGCUUUAGUGGCGCA
rnacentral:rRNA from 1 species